rnacentral:rRNA from 1 species
AUUUAUCGGAGAGUUUGAUCCUGGCUCAGGACGAACGCUGGCGGCGUGCCUAAUACAUGCAAGUCGAGCGGACAGAUGGGAGCUUGCU